GAUGAACGCUGGCGGCGUGCCUAAUACAUGCAAGUCGAGCGAACGGACGAGAAGCUUGCUUCUCUGAUGUUAGCGGCGGACGGGUGAGUAACACGUGGAUAACCUACCUAUAAGACUGGUAUAACUUCGGGAAACCGGAUCUUAUACCGGAUAAUAUUUUGAACCGCAUGGUUCAAAAGUGAAAGACGGUCUUGCUGUCUCUUAUAGAUGGAUCCGCGCUUCAUUAGCUAGUUGGUAAGGUAACGGCUUACCAAGGCAACGAUGCAUAGCCGACCUGAGAGGGUGAUCGGCCACACUGGAACUGAGACACGGUCCAGAGUCCUACGGGAGGCAGCAGUAGGGAAUCUUCCGCAAUGGGCGAAAGCCUGACGGAGCAACGCCGCGUGAGUGAUGAAGGUCUUCGGAUCGUAAAACUCUGUUAUUAGGGAAGAACAUAUGCGUAAGUAACUGUGCACAUAUUGACGGUACCUAAUCAGAAAGCCACGGCUAACUACGUG
rnacentral:rRNA from 1 species